CGCGCUGAAGGGGGCGGCUAGGCGGUCGCUUCGAGCGUGUUAGUUAGCUCCCUGAAGAGAGUGAGGGCGGUUGGGCGCUGGCGGUCACUCGUGCGUUCGCUGGUAAGCGCGGCGGCGGCGGCGGCGGCGGCGGGAAGUGGAGCGGCGGUGCCGAACCAGGUGGGCAGCUCCUCCGGGGCUGUCGGUCUCCGCCUGAGGCGUCUGUGGAAGCUCUCUGCGGACGUGGAGCAGCCGAUGGUCUGUUUUGCCGGGGAGGGUGGACACUGGUUUGGUUCUGUGGGCAGGUGGAGCCGGGCCGCGGCGACUCUCGUUGAACUGUCCGGGCUGAGGAGAGCGAAGCCUCCUUCCAGACGAGAGGUUCACCACCCAGGCGGCUGCCCGGCCCAGGACACGCGCGUUCGUUGAGUGAAUAAACGACGGUUCCCGUCGACCUCUAACCUCGGGUUUGGAUUUUUUGGUCGUUUGGUUGGUGGAUCCCGGCAUUACUAGAAUUGGGUUUUGUUCGCGUGGUGACAGCCUAAAUAGUGCUGCAGCUGUAACAGACAAUAAGUUAAUAUACAUUUUUUUAAACUUGAAGUCGGGUGGCCGUGGCGUUUUGGGGAGCUUAGUGGAAGGAAGCUACGACCGUAAAACACUACCUUUUGAGUAAAGUGUCCC
rnacentral:lncRNA from 1 species